GCCGGGCGUGGUGGCUCAUGCCUGUAAUCCCAACACUUUGGGAGGCCGAGGCAGGUGGAUCACCUGAGGUCAGGAGUUUGAGACCAGCCUGGCCAACAUGGUGAAACCCUGUCUCUA
rnacentral:SRP_RNA from 1 species